rnacentral:lncRNA from 1 species
AUGAGAACAUUUCAAACAUCUGCUGACACCCACACUGAGGUUGUUCAGGUGGGUGUGUUUAGGAGCUGUGGGCUACCAGAAUUGAUGGGUCUUGGAAGGCAAUGCCAAAGAAUGCUCAAACUACCGCAAAUUGCACUCAUCUCACACACUAGUAAAGUAAUGCUCAAAAUUCUCCAAGCCAGGCUUCAGCAAUACGUGAACUGUGAACUUCCAGAUGUUCAAACUGGUUUUAGAAAAGGCAGAGGAACCAGAGAUCAAAUUGCCAACAUCCACUGGAUCAUGGAAAAAGCAAGAGAGUUCCAGAAAAACAUCUAUUUCUGCUUUAUUGACUAUGCCAAAGCCUUUGACUGUGUGGAUCACAAUAAACUGUGGAAAAUUCUGAAAGAGAUGGGAAUACCAGACCACCUGACCUGCCUCUUGAGAAAUCUGUAUGCAGGUCAGGAAGCAACGAUUAGAACUGGACAUGGAACAACUGACUGGUUUCAUAUAGGAAAAGGAGUACGUCAAGGCUGCAUAUUGUCACCCUGCUUAUUUAACUUAUAUCUUGAGUACAUCAUGAGAAACACUGGGUUGGAAGAAGCACAAGCUGGAAUCAAGAUUGCCGGGAGAAAUGUCAAUAAUCUCAGAUAUGCAGAUGACGCCACCUUUAUGGCAGAAAGCGAAGAGGAACUAAAGAGCCUCUUGAGGAAAGUGAAAGAGGAGAGUGAAAAAGUUGGCUUAAAGCUCAACAUUCAGAAAACGAAGAUCAUGGUAUCCGGUCCCAUCACGUCAUGGGAAAUAGAUGGGGAAACAGUGGAAACAGUGUCAGACUAUUUUUUGGUCUCCAAAAUCACUGCAGAUGGUGAUUGCAGCCAUGAAAUUAAAAGACUCUUAUUCCUUGGAAGAAAAGUUGUGACCAACCCAGAUAGCAAUUUCAAAAGCAGAGACAUUACUUUGCCAACAAAGGUCCAUCUGGUCAAGGCUAUGGUUUUUCCAGUGGUCAUGUAUGGAUGUGAGAGUUGGACUAUGAAGAAAGCUGAACACUGA